rnacentral:rRNA from 1 species
AUUGAACGCUGGCGGCAGGCCUAACACAUGCAAGUCGAGCGAGCGGCGGACGGGUGUGUAAUGUAUGGGACUCUGCCCUCUAGAGGGGGAUAACUACUGGAAACGGUUGCUAAUCCCGCAUACUAUCGGAUGACCCCAUAUGGGAUUGGCUAGUAGGUGGGGUAAAGGCUCACCUAGGCGACGCUCUCUAGCUGGGCUGAGAGGAUGAUAAGCAACAAUGGGACUGAGAAACGGCCCAGACUCCUACGGGAGGCAGCAGUGGGGAAUAGGGCACAAGGGGCGCAAGCCUGAUGCAGCCAUGCCGCGUGUGUGAAGAAGGCCUUAGGGUUGUAAAGUCCUUUCAGCGGGGAGGCGUUACCCGCAGAAGAAGCACCGGCUAACUCCGUGCCAGCAGCCGCGGUAAUAC